rnacentral:rRNA from 1 species
AUUGAACGCUGGCGGCAUGCCUUACACAUGCAAGUCGAACGGCAGCGCGGGGCAACCUGGCGGCGAGUGGCGAACGGGUGAGUAAUAUAUCGGAACGUGCCCUGGAGUGGGGAUAACGUAGCGAAAGUUACGCUAAUACCGCAUACGAUCCAAGGAUGAAAGCAGGGGACCUUCGGGCCUUGUGCUCCUGGAGCGGCCGAUAUCUGAUUAGCUAGUUGGUGGGUAAAGCCUACCAAGGCGACGAUCAGUAGCUGGUCUGAGAGGACGACCAGCCACACUGGAACUGAGACACGGUCCAGACUCCUACGGGAGGCAGCAGUGGGAAUUUGG